rnacentral:rRNA from 1 species
GGGGAAUAUUGCACAAUGGGCGAAAGCCUGAUGCAGCAACGCCGCGUGAGCGAUGAAGGCCUUUGGGUCGUAAAGCUCUGUCCUUGGGGAAGAAACAAAUGACGGUACCCUUGGAGGAAGCCCCGGCUAACUACGUGCCAGCAGCCGCGGUAAUACGUAGGGGGCGAGCGUUAUCCGGAAUUAUUGGGCGUAAAGAGUGCGUAGGUGGCCAUGUAAGCGCGGGGUGAAAGGCAAUAGCUUAACUAUUGUAAGCCUUGCGAACUGUGUGGCUUGAGUGCAGGAGAGGAAAGUGGAAUUCCUAGUGUAGCGGUGAAAUGCGUAGAUAUUAGGAGGAACACCAGUGGCGAAGGCGACUUUCUGGACUGUAACUGACACUGAGGCACGAAAGCGUGGGGAGCAAAC